rnacentral:rRNA from 1 species
UACGAAGGGGGCUAGCGUUGCUCGGAAUUACUGGGCGUAAAGGGCGCGUAGGCGGCACUGUUAGUCAGGCGUGAAAGUCCUGGGCUCAACCUGGGAACUGCGCUUGAUACGGCAGAGCUAGAGGAUGGAAGAGGCUCGCGGAAUUCCCAGUGUAGAGGUGAAAUUCGUAGAUAUUCGGAGGAACACCGAUGGCGAAGGCAGCCAUCUGGACCGACACUGACGCUGAGGCGCGAAAGCGUGGGGAGCAAACAGG